CAGCCGCCGCGGUAAUACGAAGGGUGCAAGCGUUACUCGGAAUUACUGGGCGUAAAGCGUGCGUAGGUGGUGGUUUAAGUCCGUUGUGAAAGCCCUGGGCUCAACCUGGGAAUUGCAGGGGAUACUGGGUCACUAGAGUGUGGUAGAGGAUAGUGGAAUUUCCGGUGUAGCAGUGAAAUGCGUAGAGAUCGGAAGGAACAUCUGUGGCGAAGGCGACUAUCUGGGCCAACACUGACACUGAGGCACGAAAGCGUGGGGAGCAAACCGGAUUAGAUACCCGUGUAGUCCCUGUCUCUUAUAC
rnacentral:rRNA from 1 species